rnacentral:lncRNA from 1 species
CAUACACAUUGAGGGUUUGGUAUUCAUUUCUCUCUCUCCCUCCUCACAGUGAGUUAAUUCCCUGUGCUUUAUGAAGUGCCUCCUGUACAAGGGCUUCUCAUUGGGUAUGAGACCUUUGGGACCCAAGAGUAAAGACACAAGUGUCUAGUUUUAAUGGAGAAAGCUCACCAGGAUUACAGAUGGAUCAGGUCACCAAGAUGAAGAAUCUGCACCCAGCAGUUGCAACACAGCCCUUUUGGGAAGACCUGAUGGUGCAAAAUGAAAGCUGUGAGAGAGAAACUGCCCUUCCCAAGUAUCCCAUCAGGAGCAGGUCUCUGGUCUCAUUCAAGGUGUUGCUGUCCCCUCCUACAACAUCCCUGCUGUACAGAAAGGACUGUCCCUUGUUUCUGUAGACUCUGUCCUCAGACAUCACAGGGUCUGAGGCUUUAAGAUGAGAGUCUUGUGCCCAGACACACAAGAAAUCCCCUAAUGAAAUGAAAACUCCUAAACCCUGGGCCUUUGAUACAAGAUCAUCUCUCUGUCCAUAGCACUGAAGUUCUGGUUUUGGUUUGAAAGAAAAGCUUCAUUUGAAGCUUUUUGUUCUUUCCACAGUUAUGUUUGUGAUUAAGUUCAGGUUGCAAGCACAGGGAGACAGUGCCUCUGGCACUGGAGUUCAGCCUUUGUACGGAGCCGUGAUGGGGAACAUCCCACAGUGAAAUGCAACUGAAAUUUUCAACUUUGGAAAUAUCCAAAUUAGCUUAAUUGUCAACUUUUACCAUAUCACACUUUCCUUUCCUUUCAGACCUUCUUUGUAACACUCAUUUUUGGAUUAAGAUCAAGUGGUGCAUUUGUCCUCAGAGGAGGGAGAGGCUUGAAAACAGCAUUUCUCAGUGAAUGCAUGAAAAAUGCAUCUGAGAUGAAUGACUCUGGUGCAGGGAAUCAGAAUUAUUUUCUCCACUGGAAGAAAAACGUGUGGGACUUCAGAGGAAGGGAAGAUGCAUUCUCCCUCAGCUUCUACAUACCUCUGCCUUCCCCAGGGCAGACAGGAGACUCUCACAGACCUGGGCUCCCUGGUGCCUCAAGAGAUUGCCAGGUCCCAGCCUUACUGAAGGCAGCCCUGUGUGCAUUGUAUCUCCCAGGAACCAGACAUGUGGAUUUCUGUGUAUGGAAAAUUGCUGUAAGAUUCCUAUGCCACUUGUCAGCAGCACUCACAGCCACCCCAGCACCCCACCGUGGCACUUGAGGGUCCUGGCAGGGCAAAGGCACAGGCAGCUGCUCAUCACCAAGGUCAGCACUGCUCGGGCUGGAUCUCUCCACCAAGAGAUCCAGAACAGCCUUGUCCAGCCCAGAUGCCCCUGAAUACUUUGUAUUUCUCAGUCAGAGUGACAAUCUUUGCUCAAAUAUUUUCCUGAGCAGAAGGCAUUCAAGUCAUUGAUGGCAGCACCAGGAGUUCAGAAUAUUUGAGAGCCCAUGGGUGAACCAAGCCAAAAUAUUGAUGCAGCUCACUGUACCCUCAAGCAGAACUGAAGUGGAUUGGGUGAACAGAGCUCAAAAAAUGUACAUUUCACUCCAUGUUCUUGCAAGGAAUGUCUAGCAUAGACAGACAUAGGUGAACUGCAGGUGUCCACAGGUCAGAGAUAAAUCCCAGUCUCCCCCAUGCCUGUCUCAGGAAGAUGACACAGCUUCCUUCUUCUCAGGAAACUGAAGAAACAAAGACGCUCAGGUGAAUUUCUCGAUCCCAACAACUAUUUGGUGGUGCCUAAAGAACAUCAGCUAUAAAUGCCUUUUCAAUCCAGCAGAGAGAGAGGAGAGCAAACUGCCCCACUGGGGCUUGCUCCUCUCUGCUGCCCUUCUGGGAACAUUCAAAAGUAACUUGGAGAUGGAAACUGAGUUAGGGGGUUCCUGCCCUCUGGCUCAGCCAUCAGAGCAGCUCUCAUUGACCCCAGCCCAGAGCAGACACUCCUGGUGACUGCAGCUGAGUGCAACGAUGAAGGCAGAGGGAAUCCUGUCUCCCUGGGAGCAGAAGGAACAAGACAGAGAGGCAUGAUGAUUCCCCAGCAGAGGGUUUGUCCAUGGAAACCAAUGCUAACUUCAUGAGCUGUGCUCUGCACGCCUCCCAGAGGGAAGCAGCAGCGAGAUAAAGAUUUCAAAACUGACCACUUUAGCUCAGGAUCUGAGCUGCUUAAAAACCUAACAGUGCCAAGGAGGCAGAAAGAACAGUCCAGAGUCCUGGGUGUCUUCAUAAUCUCUGCUUGAAGCAUUUUACUCCAUUCUUGAGGGAAAAGACAGGAAAAUAAGGUGUGCUGUGAUGCAGUUUAUUUAGCAAGUUUGGAAAACACAGUUGUGAUUGUGGCUUGAACAGCUAAACUGGAUAAACUCUCAGUCUUAUCCUGGUGUAGUUAAAGACUUUGCAAUCCUACUCUGGAUGAAUGUGCUUUUUUAUGUUUUGUUUUGGGUUUUUUUGAGGUUUUUGCUGUUUAACUUGGCUUUGUGUGCGUGAAAUGCGGUGGAACGGAUUACAGAUGUGUGCAAAGAUCUGUAAAUAGCAGUUUCUUGCUUACAGUUCUGAGUGUAUACUGUUUAUCAUGCUAAAUGCAUUCACUAUUUCAACCAGAAUCAGCAACUCCAAAAUAUUUUAAAGCAGAUUAUUUUUAAAAGUGAGGGGAAAAAAAUCAGGCAAGUUUGGUGUUUUUCUUUUAAGAUUUAUGCCUAAAUAGUUGAGCAUAAGCCAAGGCCUGUGGAGUGUCUUGCACCCUUUAAAAAUAAUAUCCCUGAUUAAAAUUAAAAUAAAG